CCCAGGUGAUUAUCAUACUGAAAACCUUUCUAUAGCCUUGCUACUUAUAGAGCAGUUUGUCUGCAUUUAAAUUCUUUGGUGCAUAUUUUUUUCCCUUGAUUAUAUUGCAAAUGUUGCUUUACUAUUUUCUGGCUUUGAAUGUUACAUAGAACUCUGAUGCCAGACUGGUUUGCUCUCCUUAGAAAAUGACUUGGUCUUUCUGCCAGAAAUCAUAGUCCCUGGGAUACAGACUCUGAGGCAGAGACUGGUGUGCACAGAGUUUACUGGGGAGCACCCUUGGGAUCAGCAAUUGUGACAACAUGAAGGAGGGAGAAUCAGACAGAAAGGAGAUGCUGAAGUGCAGUUGGUAGUGCACUGGACAGUAGGAGCCAGAUUUAGCAAACCACUGACCACGAUCAUUUACAACAAAGGCCUCAGCCCAUCCCUUAAGGAGCUUUAAUGUUGGAAUGGCCCUUUAGAGUAGUCCAAAUUGAGGGAGGGAUCUCUGUAUUCUGAACAUGGACCAGUCAUUGGAUGCAAGUGAACCUUGGGGAGAGGUUUGAACUUGGAAGAGGGAGAUUUCUUUGGCCAGAGGAAAUUCCCAGAGGAACACUCAAUGCUUGCUUCAGUCCUGAAGUGGAUAUCUGGGGAGCACACCACAGCAUCUACUACUGUGAUCUUAGUGAUGUCUGCAGGCCUCUACAGAGAAAUACUAAAUGACUAAUACUAGUGCUGCAAGAGAAAGUCAAGUCAGGGGAACCAAAAGAGAGUCCAGACAGUAUUCCUAUCGUCAGUUCAGGAGACUCACUGAAGUCACAGUGGAGUGGGUUGAAUGGUGAAACCCCAGAAGAUAUGUUCAUCCAGAACCUGUGAAUGUGAUGUCACUUAGAAAAAGGGUCUUUACAGAUGUAACUAAGGAUCUUAAGAUGA